AGCAAUACUCCUCAGAGCAAACGUUGGCUUUUCAGCUAACUUAGAAGUUCCCUGGAAAAUGCUUCUUAAGCCUUAGAGAAGAGAGACAGUCUUUUUCAUAUAACAUAGCCAAACGAAGGGUGUGACACUCCAUCACCGUCACCAUACUCUGCUGAUUAGAAGUGAUUCACAGUUUCUGCCCACAAUGAACAGAAGAGGUCACAUAGGAGAGUGAUCAGCAUAUCUUGGGAGCACAGUAGACACAGGUUAAGGAGAUCCCCUGCCUGCAGUCUCCCAAUCAAAUCAUAGGAACACUGUGAGACUCUGGGGUGAGCUUGCAUUUGCAGACAGGAACUGAAGGGCUGGAGAGGUUACGCUCACCCAGGUGCAGUUGCCCAGCAUGCGAAAGAGGAGACAUUCUAAACCCUGCACUUAAAAAAUAAAUAAAUAAAUAAAGUUACAGACUGUC